rnacentral:rRNA from 1 species
AAACUAUUAGAAGCAAAGAUGAAGAGUGGGUGUUCUUUCACGUGGCAGAGCAUUUGUGCAGGGAUUAACACCUUCAAAAGAGGUGCCAUUUGGAGGAUCGGAGACGGUUCUCAGGUUAAUAUUUGGUCUGACCCGUGGAUUGCUGGGAGCGCGGACGGACGCGUAGUGACCCCGAGAGGAGCAAAUCUGCUGUCAAAGGUGGCCGACCUGAUCGAUCCGGUUACAAGAGUAUGGGAUCAAGAGCUUGUGAUGGAUACGUUUUGGCAGGUUGAUGCGGAGAGAAUUCUGGCGAUCCCGCUCGCGCCGCAAGGUAUGAUGGAGGACUUUGUGGCUUGGAGAUUUACGAAGAAUAACAUGUUCACAGUCUGGUCGGCGUAUCAUGCUGAGUGGGAUCACCAGUUUGGUCGAUGGUUUGAGAGAACAGAAGGCCAACAAUCAUAGCGCUAUCCAGUAUGGGCAAAGCUGUGGGAGUCCUCAUUGCCGGGAAAGAUCAAGAUCCACGCAUGGAAAGUGUUGCAUGGGUUCGUACCAUGUUUUGGAGUCCUGGCAAACCGACAUAUUGCUAUGCCUAGGAACUGUCCUAUGUGUGCAGGAGGCUGUGAGGAUAUCAAGCAUGCAUUAUCUACUUGCCCAAGAGCGUCGGAAGUAUGGAGGUGUCUAAAACUAGAUGGAUUUGUG